GACGAACGCUGGCGGCGUGCUUAACACAUGCAAGUCGAACGGAAAGGCCCUGCUUUUGUGGGGUGCUCGCGUGGCGAACGGGUGAGUAACACGUGAGUAACCUGCCCUUGACUUUGGGAUAACUUCAGGGAACUGGGGCUAAUACCGGAUAGGAGCUCCUGCUGCAUGGUGGGGGUUGGAAAGUUUCGGCGGUUGGGGAUGGACUCGCGGCUUAUCAGCUUGUUGGUGGGGUAGUGGCUUACCAAGGCUUUGACGGGUAGCCGGCCUGAGAGGGUGACCGGCCACAUUGGGACUGAGAUACGGCCCAGACUCCUACGGGAGGCAGCAGUGGGGAAUAUUGCACAAGGGGCGGAAGCCUGAUGCAGCAACGCCGCGUGCGGGAUGACGGCCUUCGGGUUGUAAACCGCUUUCGCCUGUGACGAAGCGUGAGUGACGGUAAUGGGUAAAGAAGCACCGGCUAACUACGUG
rnacentral:rRNA from 1 species